GAUGAACGCUGGCGGCGUGCCUAAUACAUGCAAGUCGAGCGAACAGACGAGGAGCUUGCUCCUCUGACGUUAGCGGCGGACGGGUGAGUAACACGUGGAUAACCUCCCUAUAAGACUGGGAUAACUUCGGGAAACCGGAGCUAAUACCGGAUAAUAUAUUGAACCGCAUGGUUCAAUAGUGAAAGACGGUUUUGCUGUCACUUAUAGAUGGAUCCGCGCCGCAUUAGCUAGUUGGUAAGGUAACGGCUUACCAAGGCAACGAUGCGUAGCCGACCUGAGAGGGUGAUCGGCCACACUGGAACUGAGACACGGUCCAGACUCCUACGGGAGGCAGCAGUAGGGAAUCUUCCGCAAUGGGCGAAAGCUUGACGGAGCAACGCCGCGUGAGUGAUGAAGGUCUUCGGAUCGUAAAACUCUGUUAUUAGGGAAGAACAAAUGUGUAAGUAACUAUGCACGUCUUGACGGUACCUAAUCAGAAAGCCACGGCUAACUACGUG
rnacentral:rRNA from 1 species